UACGUAGGGAGCAAGCGUUGUCCGGAAUCAUUGGGCGUAAAGCGCGCGUAGGUGGCUUCGUAAGUCCGUUGUGAAAGUCAAAGGCUCAACCUUUGAAAGCCGAUGGAUACUGUGAAGCUAGAGUACGGAAGAGGCGAGUGGAAUUCCUGGUGUAGCGGUGGAAUGCGCAGAUAUCAGGAAGAACACCGGUGGCGAAGGCGGCUCACUGGCUCGUUUCUGACGCUCAGGCGCGAUAGCGUGGGGAUCAAACAGG
rnacentral:rRNA from 1 species